UACGUAGGUGGCAAGCGUUUGUCCGGAUUUAUUGGGUUUAAAGGGUGCGUAGGCGGUCUUUUAAGUCAGUGCUGAAAUACUCCAGCUUAACUGGAGGGGUGGCAUUGAUACUGGAAGACUUGAGUGCAGUCGAGGUAGGCGGAAUUGACGGUGUAGCGGUGAAAUGCUUAGAUAUCGUCAAGAACACCGAUAGUGAAGACAGCUUACUAGGCUGCAACUGACGCUGAGGCACGAAAGUGUGGGGAUCAAACAGG
rnacentral:rRNA from 1 species